GGGGGGGGGGAGGGCAUCGGAGCAGGGAAUGUCAUCUGAGCAAACAAAAAACAACACAGGAGGUUAAGAAAAAAGAAGCCCGCUCAGCCUCCUUGCCAAGAAACCCAAUGAUGAUCGCAGAAGUUAACGAUCGCGCCCCGAAGCUCUGCUUUCCUGGAGGAGGGGAACCCCGCGCUCGGCAGGCCCGGCUUUGGGUUUAUGCUUCUUCCCCCCCCCCCCCCCCCCCCCCCCCGAGCGGAGCGGUCCUCAGUGAAGGCAGAGAGUUAAGUAAGAAAGCAAACCGCGGCAGAGUGCUCUCAGGCAGCGUUACUCCUCGCUUAGCAUCAGCACUAACGAGUCGUCCUCUCCCCUCGCCCGUCCGCAAAGCGAUCCAUCAUUUAUUUCCAGAUCACCUGGUGAUCUGUAACACAGAAAGAAAAAAAAAAAAAAGAGAGAGAGAGAUUAAGGAAGGAGCCGCCGACACCGCUCCAUGCGCAAUACCUAUCGGCUGAUGUAGAAAAGAAAGCAUAAUCCACAUGUAUAUUGCCUUUAACGAAAGGUAUUUCCUUCGCCUUCCCUCCCUACAGUACCGGCAUGCUUUUGCUGAGGGCUGCGUUUGCACAGUCGCCAGUAAUUACACGCGUGUGUCCGCCGGGAGAACGAAGGUUGGGAAGGUGGGAGGUAGGACGUGAUUCCUCUUUGGAGCAAUCAGGACUGGGAAAGGUUUCAUUCCGUGCAGACGAGCCGUCCAAAAGCAUGCCCAGGAGAGGUGCAGAAACCUGUUCAGUAGUUCAGGCAGCGAUGACUUCAGAGGAAACGUCCCCAUUUCCAGCAUGUUCUUCAAUGCAUGAGGAACUCUUUCCUGCCUGUAUUAAAAUCAAAUAGUUAUUUGUGCAAAGAUUGACAAUAUUGUAACCAUUUGAUUUGAAUGUCUUAAUUUGAAAAUAAC
rnacentral:lncRNA from 1 species